UGGGCGGAAGCCUGAUGCAGCGACGCCGCGUGAGGGAUGACGGCCUUCGGGUUGUAAACCUCUUUCGACUCCGACGAAGCGAGAGUGACGGUAGGAGUAUAAGAAGCACCGGCCAACUACGUGCCAGCAGCCGCGGUAAUACGUAGGGUGCGAGCGUUGUCCGGAAUUACUGGGCGUAAAGAGCUUGUAGGCGGCUUGUCGCGUCGAUCGUGAAAACUCGGGGCUCAACCCCGAGCUUGCGGUCGAUACGGGCAGGCUUGAGUACUUCAGGGGAGACUGGAAUUCCUGGUGUAGCGGUGAAAUGCGCAGAUAUCAGGAGGAACACCGGUGGCGAAGGCGGGUCUCUGGGAAGUAACUGACGCUGAGAAGCGAAAGCGUGGGUAGCGAACAGGAUUAGAUACCCUGGUAGUCCACGCCGUAAACGGUGGGUACUAGGUGUGGGUUUCCUUCCACGGGAUCCGUGCCGUAGCUAACGCAUUAAGUACCCCGCCUGGGGAGUACGGCCGCAAGGCUAAAACUCA
rnacentral:rRNA from 1 species